rnacentral:rRNA from 1 species
GUGUCAGCAGCCGCGGUAAUACGGAAGGGGCUAGCGUUGUUCGGAAUUACUGGGCGUAAAGCGCGCGUAGGCGGCUUGGCGAGUGAGGCGUGAAAGUCCUGGGCUCAACCUGGGGACGGCGUUUCAGACUGCCUGGCUUGAGUCCGGAAGAGGGUGGUGGAAUUCCGAGUGUAGAGGUGAAAUUCGUAGAUAUUCGGAGGAACACCGGUGGCGAAGGCGGCCACCUGGUCCGGAACUGACGCUGAAGUGCGAAAGCGUGGGGAGCAAACAGGAUUAGAUACCCGCGUAGUCC